AAAGGCAUUCCAUGCAGUUUGAUGUUUUUGUCAAACAGCGACCCCUAGAGUCACUGGGGAAAACUUGCAACUGUCGUAAUUUCGCACGCCCACUCUGUAUGUACCUGUUAGGAUAGUGUUGGGCGUGAGAUGGACUUCGAAGAUAAUGACCAGGGAAUGUUUCACAGUUUCAUACAAAUAUUAUGCUACUGCAUGUCUACUAAACUACAGAUGAUGGUAAUAGGAUAAUAUGAAGUUUAUGCCAAGUGUAGAGUAGGCAUAUAAUAAUAAAAGUAGCCUACCGCGUUUGCUGGCUUAUUACGUUUUUACAAGAUUGCAGCUUAAUCACAAGUAAACAGUCUAUAGUCUAACGUUAUGUCUACUGUAUAAUUUCAUUUGUUUUUUAAUUGUAAUGUAAACAUUACAAAAUGUAUUGACAAAGUUAAUUGUAUACGUUGCAUUAUUUCAUAACAUUGGCCGUUAUUCGUUGGCCAUAAGCAAUCGAAAUUAGACAAAUGACUACGUACACAUCACAACACAACACUUGAGUUUAGAUGGCCAAAAAAAACAUGUAAGAGAAACGAGUGUUUGUUAGCAAGUCUGCUAAAUGCUCUUAUGAUCGUAAGCUAGCUAGACCCUUGUUGAAGUUAUUUUACUGGUCUAAUUAUCAACACUGGAUGAAUGAACAGCUUAGUAAAAAAAUACACACUACAAGCAAGCGCAACCACAUACAACAUAGACCGCAAACAAAUUUACAAAUAAAAGAUUUACUUACUUGUCCAUCAACAAGAUCGCCAGAUCAGCAUCCCUUUUGCAUCCAGGGCUGUCUAUUAGCCCACGCCAACGAGUAAAAACCUGACUGAGUGGGACUCUUGUCCGGUUCCGAACUCGGUCAGAUUCUCUUUUUCGCUUUCUACUCUCUUCCGAACGGAUUUUCUUAGCUGUUUCCCUCAUCGAGCAUCACGUCUCAAAUGCGCGCGUGCAGUUGUUGUUACAGGCUUGUUGUUACAGGCUUGUUUGACUUCGUGCAGCGCUGCAGGAACCAACAGCCGGAUGACGUCAAAGUGCCGUCUCGGAUCAUUCUCGCGGUACUUUUACGUCAUCCGACUGCCGGUUCUUGCAGCGCUGCACGAAGUCGAACAAGCCUAACGUGUGUGACGUCGUUGCCGUAAAGCAAGUCGUGAUUCUCGCGAGAUUUGUCAGGGGCGGUUCUCUCAAGCUUGCAUUGCUGGUUUUGGUAGCGGCGUCCUUCCCGAGCUUCAACAGGGGGAUGAUUCGCCAUACUAUGACUUCGUUUACCAUCGAAAUGACUUUGAAGCUGUUAUAUUAAGACAAAACCAGCAUUCCCUUUAUAAAGGUCGUAGUAGAUUCCUAGUGGCAAGAAUGACAUACAGUACUACAGCAACCCCGAACUCUUCUGCCUCGAUGAUUGGUACUUCGGGGUGCUCCGGCAUCACAGUCCUGAAGGAGGUCACGAUUCGGCGGCUUUACAGACCUGCAACCUAAGUCACCGCACAAGCCGUCGGACCGUGGUCCAGGAACGCCAUCUCUGGCUGUGUCUGGCAGACAUGCGGGAGUUUUAUAAAACCGAGACGGUCAAGAACUUCGCUCAGGUGUUCUUGGCAGCCCAAAAGGAGACUGCCGCGUCAGAAGAAAGCACACCUGGCCCAUCAACAUCGGCCCCUCAGUCUGCCCCUCACAGAGGGCGUCCUGUUGCAGAUGCCCCUGUCCCUCCCCGGGCCACUUCAUUAAAGAAGUGACGAACCAGUCAUCAGCAGUCUGCCCCACCCGCCCAGCUUGCUACCCGAGGUGUAAAACAUAAGAGUUAAGCGGCCUUGAGAUGGGCGACGUGUAGAUAGAGGGGAUCACUCUAUCUCCAAGAAUGCACCACUCCCCCUCGGAGGAGGGCCGGGUCUCCAGAGGAACACAGGAGCUAUGCCCGGCCUGAAGAACCGCCGUCCUCCCCUUCCUCUAUCGCCAGCGGUGUGUCAAGCAGCUUGGGACCCUCACAACUGUGUUUCAGGUCUACAAGGAUGUAGGAGCAGAGAAACGGGUGGAGUGCUGCAUAGACAAGGGCCAUCUACUGCCAAGCAGGGCACACACUCCAUCUUACAGACUCCUGCUCCCCCCUGUCUUUUUUCCUCUGGUCAGGCGUU